CCUACGGGUGGCUGCAGUGGGGAAUAUUGGACAAUGGGGGCAACCCUGAUCCAGCGAUGCCGCGUGUGUGAAGAAGGCCCUCGGGUUGUAAAGCACUUUCAGUGAGGAAGAAAGCCUGGUGGAUAAUACCCAUCAGGAAAGACAUCACUCACAGAAGAAGCACCGGCUAACUCCGUGCCAGCAGCCGCGGUAAUACGGAGGGUGCGAGCGUUAAUCGGAAUUACUGGGCGUAAAGCGCGCGUAGGUGGCUUGAUAAGCCGGUUGUGAAAGCCCCGGGCUCAACCUGGGAACGGCAUCCGGAACUGUCAAGCUAGAGUGCAGUAGAGGAAGGUAGAAUUCCCGGUGUAGCGGUGAAAUGCGUAGAGAUCGGGAGGAAUACCAGUGGCGAAGGCGGCCUUCUGGACUGACACUGACACUGAGGUGCGAAAGCGUGGGUAGCAAACAGGAUUAGAUACCCCAGUAGUC
rnacentral:rRNA from 1 species